ensembl:lncRNA
AAAAAAACAUAAGGGGUAACACUGUUGCUUUUUAUUGGCAGUCAUGAAAAAACUACCAAUAAAAAAACGACAAAAAAAAACAUAAGGGGGGUAACACUGUCGUUUUUUAUUGGUUGUCAUGAAAAAAAACAUAAGGGGUAACACUGUUGUUUUUUAUUGGUCGUCAUGAAAAAAACAUAAGGGGUAACACUGUUAUGUUUUUGAUUGGUCGUCAUGAAAAAAAACAUAAGGGGUAACACUGUUGUUUUUUAUUAGUCGUCAUGAAAAAAACAUAAGGGGUAACACUUUUUUUUAUUGGUCGUCAUGGAAAAAACAUAAGGGGUAACACUGUUAGGUUUUUGAUUGGUCGUCAUGAAAAAAAACAUAAGGGGUAACACUGUUGUUUUUUAUUAGUCGUCAUGAAAAAAACAUAAGGGGUAACACUGUUUUUUAUUAGUCGUCAUGAAAAAAACAUAAGGGGUAACACUGUCGUUUUUUAUUGGUCGUCAUGAAAAAAACAUAAUGGGUAACACUGGUUUUUUAUUGGUCGUCAUGAAAAAAAACAUAAGGGGUAACACUUGUUUUUUUUUGGUCGUGUUAUGACUAUGGUCAUUUCUUGUGUUCGGUCUGCUGUGUGCUUGUGUGCCCUGUGCUUUUUUCUCUUUCUCCUGACAUGCAUAAAUGAGUGUGCCGGGACGCGGAGAUGAUUGGUGGACGAGGUUCGAGCCCUGGCCUGUGGUUGGCUGCAGCCGGGAACUAACCACUACAAAGGAGCCAAGAUGGCGGCCGUCUGGGGGCAGCCGGUUUUUCCCCCGUCCUCUUCCUCUUCCAACCGCCACUUUGUCGUCGGUCUCGUGGGACAUUACCUAAUAGUUGAUAGUUAACGUGUGUGAUCGUAAGGGUGGACUGCCAGUUUUGUUUACGGUGUUUUCUCUUGUUUUACUUAGAUAGGGAGGUAAGAUUUGUAGUUUGUUUUCUUAAGGCUAGUUUCUUACUUUCUAGAUAGGUUUGUGUUAUUUGUUAUUUUGGCCUUGGUCCGCCCUGAAGUUUAUCUUGUAUAUCUAUAGAUUUAUUUACUACCUUGCAUAAAUAAAUCUUUCCUUCACACAACUGAUGAUUUGGGUUGUGGCUACUUGGGAGUUGGGGAAGACGGGGGCUCAUUCAUGUUAGGCCCUAGGCACCCCUAGACUGGGGCGUAACAUGAAUGAG